GAUGAACGCUGGCGGCGUGCCUAAUACAUGCAAGUCGAGCGAACAGACGAGGAGCUUGCUCCUCUGACGUUAGCGGCGGACGGGUGAGUAACACGUGGAUAACCUACCUAUAAGACUGGGAUAACUUCGGGAAACCGGAGCUAAUACCGGAUAAUAUAUUGAACCGCAUGGUUCAAUAGUGAAAGACGGUUUUGCUGUCACUUAUAGAUGGAUCCGCGCCGCAUUAGCUAGUUGGUAAGGUAACGGCUUACCAAGGCAACGAUGCGUAGCCGACCUGAGAGGGUGACCGGCCACACUGGAACUACGACACGGUCCGGACUCCACGGGAGGCAGCAGUAGGGAAUCUUCCGCAAUGGGCGAAAGCCUGACGGAGCAACGCCGCGUGAGUGAUGAAGGUCUUCGGAUCGUAAAACUCUGUUAUUAGGGAAGAACAAAUGUGUAAGUAACUAUGCACGUCUUGACGGUACCGAAUCAGAAAGCCACGGCUAACUACGU
rnacentral:rRNA from 1 species